CGCCAGCUGCAAUCAAUCACCGGCAAUCUUCACACCUGAUGCUAAUGACGGGGCUGCCUUCAUGGACCUGGACAACCUGCCAUCACUCGCCGGAUUAUAGCCUUCUGUAUCUGACACUCUCCGUGUUUCUCCUGGAUCCCCUGUUGUUCCCCUUGCCUCCAGAACUGACUUUUGGAUUCUCGACCUCUCGCUUGGACACGUUUUCCCACGGACUUCCGCGUUCCUUCGCUCUCGUCAACAUUUUGGAGCACAUAGAGGCUCCGCUGGAAACACCAGACCGCGCCCACUCUCCGCCGCUGCCGGCAGCGGCAUCCCACGCCUGACACACCUGACGCUGAUGAAGGGCAACAGUAUAAAGAUGGCUAACGCUGACUCAUCGACGUCGGAACGUAAACUACUCUGUUCGUGUCACCACCGCUGUUUCCCUCCUGGCCCCAUUUUGCCUUCCCGGAUCCUCGACCUCGUUUUGGACUUUGGACCCGCUCUCCUGCCUUUGACCCCCGCUUGGACUUUGGACUUCCUCUGGCUUGUUCCCAUCCGGAUUUGGAUGCUGUUCAUCCAACACGCACCUCAACAACCCUCACGGUAUUCACAUAUGGUCAUUCAACACAUAGCCAUUCAUGUAGACACAUAGUAGCAUACACACUCCACGUAAUCAUCAAGUCUUCAAUAAACCUAUUGAACUUGACAUCCCGUAGCUGUGCCGUCUCCUUCCCCAGUAGAAACAUAACACUGUUUUCCUAAGCGAGGUCACCAACACAACUGUUGUUGUCUAGUUGUUAAGGUUCCUUUGUAGUAUUUGAGCGCAAUGGGCAACCAAAGCAACAUGUUGUUGGAACUAAAGUAGAAGCAAUCAAUGUGGAACAUCAGUCACUUUUACUGUAAAUGUUGCUCCAAAACAGUAGAAGUCCAUCCAUCCAUCCAUUUCUACCGCUUAUUCCCUUUUGGGGGCGCGGGGGGCGCUGGCGCCUAUCUCAGCUACAAUCGGGCGGAAGGCGGGGUACACCCUGGACAAGUCGCUAUCUCAUCGCAGGGCCAACACAGAUAGACAGACAACAUUCACACUCACAUUCACACACUAGGGUCAAUUUAGUGUUGCCAAUCAACCUAUCCCCAGGUGCAUGUCUUUGGAAGUGGGAGGGGCCUAUCCCCAGGUGCAUGUCUUUGGAGGUGGGAGGGGCCUAUCCCCAGGUGCAUGUCUUUGGAGGCGGGAGGAAGCCGGAGUACCCGGAGGGAACCCACGCAUUCACGGGGACAACAUGCAAACUCCACACAGAAAGAUCUCGAGCCUGGGAUUGAACCCAGGACUGCAGGACCUAAGUAUUGUGAGGCAGACGCACUAACCCCUCUGCCACCGUGAAGCGCCAAAACAGUUGAAGUAGGAAAGCGAUUUAGAAAAGAAAUUUUCAUGAAAGGCUGCCUAUUGAAAUUGAUGUAUCAAAAAUAGACAACCAAUCACAGCUCUGAGGUCGCUGUAAAGCCUUAAAUUGUCAUUUUUACUACUGCACGUUCCCAUGUUAGCCCUAGAUGUGUCGCCCCUUUUUAAUGUAGUUGCUCAGCGGUGUAGUUGUUAGGGUGUACGCCCUGAGAUCGGUAGGUCGUGAGUUCAAACCCCGACCGAGUCAUAAAAAUGGGACCCAUUACCUCCCUGCUUGGCACUCAGCAUCAAGGGUUGGAAUUGGGGGUUAAAUCACCCAAAAUAGUACUCCCGGGCGUGGCCACUGCUGCUGCUCACUGCUCGUCUCACCUCCCAGGGGGUGAUCAAGGGUGUUUGGUCAAAUACAGAGAAUAAUUUCGCCACACCUAGUGUGUGUGACAAUCAUUGAACUUUAAAUGUAGCUUUUUGCUAACUAAGACAUAUUUGUUAUCCAUACUUCCAUCCAUGCAUCUUCUUCCGCCUUACCGAGGUCGGGUCGCGGGGGCAGCAGCCUAGGCAGGGAAGGCCAGACUUUCUUCUCCUCAGCCACUUCGUCCAGCUCCUCCGAGGCGUUCCCAGGCCAGCCGGGAGACACAGUCUUCCCAACGUGUCCUGGGUCUUCCCUGUGGCCUCCUACCGGUAGGAUGUGCCCUAAACACCUCCCUAGGGAGGCGUUCGGGUGGCAUCCUCUGACUCCUCUCUAUGUGGAGGAGCAGCGGCUUUACUUUGAGCACCUCCCGGAUGGCAGAGCUUCUCACCCUAUCUCUAAGGGAGAGCCCCGCCACCCGGCGAAGGAAACUCAUUUUGGCCGCUUGUAACCCUGAUAAUAAUAUUCAUUAUGGCUGUCAAAGUAACCGAACAUCGGGUCAUGAUACAAAAAAGUGAGAAACCCUAUAGAAUAAAGAAAUAAGUCGUAGCAAAGUAAAAAGUGUCAUCUGUGUAGCUCUCUCCUAUGAACUACUCUGUCCAUUUUUGGGUGUCUGGGAUUUGCAUUUUUCUCAUGAUUAUGGCUAUAUAUACAUAUAUAUGUAUAUAUA